AGGAAGUAAUGGCGUCUCGCGUCGUUUCGCUUUCCAAUAUUCCUGACAAAUUAUCAUAAAUGUGACAUUACAAUGCGAAAAAAAUAGAAGUCAAAGGAAUUUGUAACUGGCUGCUACAUCGGUAGGCUCGAUAUAUCUUUAGAAAAUGACGAUAUCUAACAUUGACGGGGUGAAAUCUAUCCAAGUCAGAGAAAAUCGGAUAGCCGCCAUGUUGUUAGCUAAAGAACUUCAGCGAACACGUUAUAUAUUACCUUUUUGGAUGUGUUCGCUGAAGAGAACGCCGUAUCCAAACCCUACCAGAAUUCGUGACAUUUUUAUGUCACGCUGUUAUUUCACUUGUAUGCAUUGUACAGACAAAAUAGCUGUAUCCUUAGGUUAAUGAAGUAAAAUGUAGUUCACAAACUCAUUUUCAAAACCAAAAAAACACUUUAAAGAUAGUUGAUUUAGCUUUUUAAUAAAUCCUAUUACAAGCAUUCCUUAUCUAGGUCAUAGUUGUGUUCAAAUUUAAUCACGUGUCACCAAGAUUUUCAGAAAAUACCCAUGUGACCUAGUGUUUAUUUUGCUGUUAUUUUUUCUAUUUCGAAUAAUUAAUAAAUAACUAAUAACAAAUUUGGAAUAAAUAAAUUGUUUUUACUUAUCAAAAGGUAUUUACAGCCUUACUGCAAUUGGAUUCAACUAAAUGAACAAUGUGAAUCCGAUGCUAUAAAUAGAAUCCAUCGACGUCAUCAUGGUCAUGUGAUUGCAUUGCAUCAUCACACUCAAUUGAUUCUGGUUGACUUUACUAUGGGGGUUACGCCAUAACUUUAAUGCGUUGUAAACAUCAAAAAAAUAAAUAUCAACAUUAAAGUUAUGGAAGCCAGAACUACCAUGUUGUCAACAUUGACAUCGAUACAAAGGAAAAGCGUGUGUGUGACGGAUACUGUAAAUGCAAACAAGGAAAUUGUGGAACAUGUUCACACACUCUGGCUGUAAAAGAAGACCUGGGAGGAAAAUUGCCCCCGGUGUGGGGCUCGAACUCACAACCACCAGAACACUAUCCCGGCGCUCUAACCAACUAAGCUGACCGGGCAGCUGGUUCUAACCCACACACACUACCCUCCCCCCAUUUACCGGUUAAGGCUGGUGGAGGGUCUCCUCCUUUUUACCGUUGACACCAUUAAAGUAUUCUGAUUGAUGGAGAUAAGGAAGUCCCCUUAUUAUUGUCUUCAACAAGCCUACCGCAACAGGAGACCUAGCAUAAGACCGGAACCCCCCCCCCCCCACACACACACGAUAUUUGCCAGUCCAGGCAAUGUCAACCGCAAGAGAAAACCAGUGAUGACAAGUUUUACAAAUAAUCGGAAAGUGUGGUCUUUUGAAGAGAGUUCUUGAAGUUGUUCAGCAUGUUGUUUUGAUGGAUUCUUGGAAGGAUGUACCUCUAUGAUGUUAGCUUCAGGUCUGGAUUAUAACACCAGUUGUUGCAUAUUUAAUAUCAGAUUUAUUAAAUACAUUGUUGUUUUGCAAACAUUACUUAAACUUUGAUAUUUCUUUGGUGUUUAUGUAUGAUAUUGUAGGUGAAUAUCUCUUUAUUGCAAUGGCAAAUAUAUUUUAAAAUAUAUAGCAUUAGCAGAAGUUAUUUUUCACUGUUAAAGCUGCACUUUCACAGAUUGAUCACUUUGACAACUUACACAGGAUUUGAUUGCAUUUAUCAGAUUUUGGCUCGGAGAAGUUCUUAAUUUAAAGAAUGUCAAAAUAAGCCGAUUCUGAGACAAAAAGUGUCAAACUAGAAUUCUGUGAGAGUGCAACUUUAAGAAUACUGUUAAUCGAGUGUGCAUGUGAUCCGGACUCUGAACAUUGGAUGAACUAUCAUUAAAUAUUGUAGAUUUACGUAAAUGGCCCAAAAUAUAAGAAUAACAAUGAAAAUAUGUACAUGUUUAACUUGUUCUUUAUUCAUAAUAAGUCUAAGUCUUUACAGCACAUGUUUGGCGGAAUCAAGUUCUAAUGAACAUAAUAAUUGAUUUAAAUGUGCAAUGAAAUAAAUUGUUUUAUACAGAAAAUAAUACCUUAACGAUUCAGACCGAUCUGUUCUCGUUUUGUUUUUUUUGGUGGCUCAAAUAUUUAUCUGAGUUUUGGAGGAGGCCUAGCUGGUGUGAGCUGGUCAAAUACAGUAGCUGCUUGGGGGUCAGGG